GUAGGUGAACCUGCGGAAGGAUCAUUAAUGAAUACUUAGGCGUGGUUGUAGCUGGCUUUUAGGAGCAUGUGCACACCCGUCUUCUUAUCUUUCCACCUGUGCACUUAAUGUAGGCCUGGAUAACUCUCGCUUUCGAGCGGAUGCAAGGAUUGUCUUACGACUCUCUUUGAACUUCCAGGUCUAUGUACUUUACAAACCCCAAUUGAAAAAUGAAGAAUGUAUCAAUGAGCUUUAUGCUUAUAAAACAAUA
rnacentral:misc_RNA from 1 species